GUCGGAAUAACUAGUAAUAUCAUCGGUAAGAAUUAAGCCAAUUUCUCCUCUUUCUUUUCUGGGCUUGUUGGAAUAAGAGCUUUUGUCGCCUUUCCUUUGUCCUUUGACAUCGAAUCGGUUGUGCUAGAAUCAAUGGCAGAUAAUGCCCUCUUGUCGUAAGUGAGCAGACGAUUUCUCCCUGACAUCACAGAAGACGAUUUUCGGCAUAUGGCUACUUCUAUUCUUGGGCAUCCCGCCUCAAAUAGACUAGGCUCCUUCAUUCCUUAGAAACCUCCUUCAUUCAUGCCUUUUCUCGGUUACUCUUUCCCAGUUCCUAGCUCUAAGACUAGUGGAAGAAGGGGCAAGAGUGGCUUCGCUCCUACACCUUCCUACACGAAGGGCUGCUCUUACUCUUAGGAGUUCUCUUUCCUUGUUGCUAGAGUUAUUUCUUCCUAGUUCUUUCUCUCCUAGUUAUUCUCCGAUCAAUUGCUAGUGUUUUCGAGGAAUCCCCUGUUCGCAAGAGAUGGGACAUUUUAAUCAGAAUCCCCUGCUAGCAAUAAUACUUGAAUCUCUAGGGAGUAUAAUCAGUCCCCUUGCGCCUUCAAGCUUUCAACUGAUUGAAAGAGAUGUGAUGCUUGACAAGAGUAUGCCAAGUGAACUUCCGGAAAGAAAACAGUUUGUUUUCUCAUUUUACUUCCUGAUUCCGCUUUCAAACUAAUUGCUCGGAGAGCUGACUGGCUUAAAAUAGCUCUUGUCCUUCCCCUGCUCUGGCUCUCGAAGACUCCUUCAGCAGGCCAAUACCUGAGAAGUGAGCGAAGGAAGGGCUGGCUUCGAAUAACGUAUAUUUCUAAAUGAAAUAGCUUACCUUAUUGUCCAAUUUUAAGACUCUUUUUUAAUGCCUUGCGCCUGCUUUUAUAAAAUCUCAUCCUUACUGGCCGCCUGCUGGUCUAAGCUUUAUUUUAUAUCUAUCUCUAGCUUUCUUACUUACUUUAUCACAG
rnacentral:misc_RNA from 1 species